rnacentral:lncRNA from 1 species
CGCAUGUUAACUUAUUUCCAAGACUCUGAUGUUUCUAACCUUUUAAAGAUUUCAGAGAAUUAAUGGGACACAUGAGAUUUUCACAGUCCUGGCCCUGCAGUCAUCCAAUUGGAGAAUGAGCCAAUCCUCUUUCGCAAGGGCAGUUAUCCCAGACAAGUUCAUGUUCCAAGAAGCCAGAUCAGUGUUUCCGGAGACCGUGGCAGAUACUUGGUGGCAUUGGGGUAAGGACGAUGAAUGGAGAAAAUGUGGUUGUCACCAUUACUGGAAUAUGGGUGUUGCAUUGGACUGAAGCCUCU